GAAGGUGGCCUGUGAGGGUUGCUGGAGGUAUCAGAAGUGCGAAUGCUGACAUAAGUAACGAUAAAGCGGGUGAAAAGCCCGCUCGCCGGAAGACCAAGGGUUCCUGUCCAACGUUAAUCGGGGCAGGGUGAGUCGACCCCUAAGGCGAGGCCGAAAGGCGUAGUCGAUGGGAAACAGGUUAAUAUUCCUGUACUUGGUGUUACUGCGAAGGGGGGACGGAGAAGGCUAUGUUGGCCGGGCGACGGUUGUCCCGGUUUAAGCGUGUAGG
rnacentral:rRNA from 1 species